rnacentral:rRNA from 1 species
UACGUAGGGCGCAAGCGUUGUCCGGAAUUAUUGGGCGUAAAGAGCUCGUAGGCGGUUUGUCGCGUCUGUCGUGAAAGCCCACGGCUUAACCGUGGGUCUGCGGUGGAUACGGGCAGACUAGAGGGAGGUAGGGGAGAAUGGAAUUCCCGGUGUAGCGGUGAAAUGCGCAGAUAUCGGGAGGAACACCGGUGGCGAAGGCGGUUCUCUGGGCCUGUACUGACGCUGAGGAGCGAAAGCGUGGGGAGCGAACAGG